UACAGAGGUCUCGAGCGUUAGGCGGAAUCACUGGGUUUAAAGCGUGUGUAGGUGGAUGCCUAAGUACCUUGUGAAAUCCCACGGCUUAACCGUGGAACUGCUUGGUAUACUGGGUGUCUUGAGUCACUCAGGGGCGAGCGGAACAAAUGGUGGAGCGGUGAAAUGCGUAGAUAUCAUUUGGAACGCCAAUGGUGAAAACAGCUCGCUGGGGGUGCACUGACACUGAGACACGAAAGCCAGGGGAGCGAACGGG
rnacentral:rRNA from 1 species